rnacentral:sRNA from 1 species
UCCCCAGUAUUACCAAAGAAAAGUCGAGUCAGUGUUGUACGGCAGGAAGCUGAGGAUCUCUCUCUGUCAGCUCCAUCUUCACCAGAAAUUUCACCUCAGUCAUCCCCUCGGCCCCAUAGGCCGAACAAUGACCGGCUGUCUAUUCUUACCAAGCUGGUUAAAAAAGGCGAGAAGAAAGGACUGUUUGUGGAGAAAAUGCCUGCUCGAAUAUACCAGGUAAGAACCAUAUAAAAAAUUCUAAGGGGGAAUAUCCACGUGGACAUCAAAAUGUAUCUAGUAGGUCCAGAAGUACUCCUGCUGGAUUAGUCGUACCACUGGUGCUACAUCGUCUUACACACUUGUCUCAUGAACCUUUUAUGCCACGCCACAGAGGGGGCCAUAGAGCUAGAGCCAUGGAGUGCUAAGAACACAAGUAUGAAUACACACUCAGGAUUGGCAGGCACAAUCACUGACCUGCUCUGUGAGUGUAAAAUGUCACAAACAGAGUUGUGGGGAGUGGGCAGUAAAGAAAUCGUGUUGCUGAAAUAAACUUAUUUUGUCUGGAGAGAAAAACAAGUUAAGGUUCAUAACCUUUGAGUGGGACUAAUAAAACAAUC